AACUUUCAACAAUGGAUCUUUGGCUCUGGCAUCGAUGAAGAACGCAGCGAAAUGCGAUAAGUAGUUGAAUGCAGAAUUCAGUGAAUCAUCGAAUCUUGAACGCACAUGCGCCCUGGUAUUCAUGGGGCAUGCUGUCGAGCGUCACU
rnacentral:rRNA from 1 species